CAGUCGCCACGGUAAAACGGAGGGUGCAAGCGUUAAUCGGAAUUACUGGGCGUAAAGCGCACGCAGGCGGUUUGUUAAGUCAGAUGUGAAAUCCCCGAGCUUAACUUGGGAACUGCAUUUGAAACUGGCAAGCUAGAGUCUUGUAGAGGGGGGUAGAAUUCCAGGUGUAGCGGUGAAAUGCGUAGAGAUCUGGAGGAAUACCGGUGGCGAAGGCGGCCCCCUGGACAAAGACUGACGCUCAGGUGCGAAAGCGUGGGGAGCAGACAGGAUUAGAUACCCGCGUAGUCCCUGUCUCUUAUAC
rnacentral:rRNA from 1 species